UACGAAGGGUGCAAGCGUUAAUCGGAAUUACUGGGCGUAAAGGGCUCGUAGGUGGCCAACUAAGUCGGACGUGAAAUCCCUCAGCUUAACUGGGGAACUGCGUCCGAUACUGGAUGGCUUGAGUUUGGGAGAGGGAUGCGGAAUUCCAGGUGUAGCGGUGAAAUGCGUAGAUAUCUGGAGGAACACCGGCGGCGAAGGCGGCAUCCUGGACCAACACUGACACUGAGGAGCGAAAGCCAGGGGAGCAAACGGG
rnacentral:rRNA from 1 species